CUACGGGAGGCAGCAGUAGGGAAUAUUGGACAAUGGGCGAAAGCCUGAUCCAGCAACACCGCGUGCACGAUGACGGCCUUCGGGUUGUAAAGUGCUUUUAGAGGAGAUGAGAAAGGACAGUAUCCUCUGAAUAAGCCUCGGCGAACUACGUGCCAGCAGCCGCGGGAAAACGUAGGAGGCAAGCGUUAUCCGGAUUUAUUGGGCGUAAAGCGCGUGCAGGCGGUCUAGCAAGUUGGAUGUGAAAGCUCCCGGCUCAACUGGGAGAGGUCGUUCAAUACUGUUAGACUAGAGAAUAGGAGAGGGAGGUGGAAUUCCGGGUGUAGUGGUGAAAUGCGUAGAUAUCCGGAGGAACACCAGUGGCGAAAGCGGCCUCCUGGACUAUUUCUGACGCUAAGACGCGAAAGCUAGGGUAGCAAACGGGAUUAGAUACCCCGGUAGUC
rnacentral:rRNA from 1 species